rnacentral:rRNA from 1 species
UACGUAGGGGGCGAGCGUUGUCCGGAUUUAUUGGGCGUAAAGAGCUCGUAGGCGGCUUGGUAAGUCGGGUGUGAAACCUCCAGGCUCAACCUGGAGACGCCACUCGAUACUGCCCUGGCUGGAGUCCGGUAGGGGACCACGGAAUUCCUGGUGUAGCGGUGAAAUGCGCAGAUAUCAGGAGGAACACCGGUGGCGAAGGCGGUGGUCUGGGCCGGCACUGACGCUGAGGAGCGAAAGCGUGGGGAGCGAACAG